rnacentral:rRNA from 1 species
UACGUAGGGUGCGAGCGUUGUCCGGAUUUAUUGGGCGUAAAGAGCUCGUAGGCGGCUUGUCGCGUCGAAUGUGAAAACUCGGGGCUUAACUCCGGGCCUGCAGUGGGUACGGGCAGACUAGAGUGCGGUAGGGGAGACUGGAAUUCCGUGGUGUAGCGGUGAAAUGCGCAGAUAUCUGGAGGAACACCGGUGGCGAAGGCAAUCCCCUGGACCUGUACUGACGCUCAUGCACGAAAGCGUGGGGAGCAAACAGG